rnacentral:rRNA from 1 species
UACGUAGGGGGCGAGCGUUGUCCGGAUUUACUGGGCGUAAAGGGCACGCAGGCGGUGCGGCGCGUUUCGCGUGACAGCGGAGGGCUUAACUCUCCGAGGAUGCGAAAGACGGCGGCACUUGAGGGCCAGAGAGGGACACGGAAUUCCGGGUGGAGUGGUGAAAUGCGUAGAUAUCGCUUGGAACGCCGACGGUGAAAACAGGUGACUGGGGCCGCGCUGACGCUGAGACACGAAAGCCAGGGGAGCGAACGGG